CCUUCCGUGAAAGUGUUACCAAUUAUAGACUGUCGACCUUCCCAGAAUGUUGAGUAAUUGAAAUAAAUGGUAGCAGUGUAGUUAAUAGUCAAGAACUAAAAAAAAUCAUUGUAGACUACACUGUUUUUCUGAUUUUCUAAUCCGAAACUUCUGACGUUAGUUAAGCGACGAUUUAAAGUUUGCAAAUAAUAUUCAUAUUCCAAUUUUUUUUCCUUACAAUUGAAUUAAAUGUUUAUAAGAAGGAUGAUACUCUUACUUAUUGUUAUAGCUGUCAUUUCCCAGUACGUGAACACACUUAGCGUCAGGUCCUCUAUGACACAGGACAACAUCAAAGGUGAAAGCGCUAUUUUUUUCUGUACUUGGACUGCAGACGACACUGAGAAUCCAGAUGAACUGAUUGUGUCUUUGAGUGGACAAGACUACCUCAUAAAAUGUGGAAUUUCCCAUUUUCCUUACAACUGUACUGCAAAAAAUAACUAUGAAUUGAGUAAUUCUGCUCGAGGCCUGGUUUCAAUGUCAAUAAAUGGUUUAAGUUGUUCAAACCAAGGGAAAUACUUUUGUUCAAUACUAGAACAUUCUGAUGAGUUAAAACAGGAGAAAUCCGCUUCUUUCUUAAACUUUACAAAAGAUGAUAACGCUGAAUGCGGUCAAGAUGCUUUGAAUUCCAUUGGCAUACAGACGACGUUUGCACUGGCACUCUUUAUUUUACUAUGGGAGAAGAAUCUAUAAGGCCUACAUACUUGUCAUACCACACGGGUGAACACAUUAAAAUACUCACAUUUUAGUUAUGAACAAAAAUGGAAUUAGGAUCAACACAUUUUUGUAUUGCUUCAUAUAUCUCGUCAUUGUGAAUGGUCUAAUAUUAAAACAGAGCACGUUUGCUUGUGAUUUCGCUAAUGAAUAGAUGAGAAUGGGGAACAAGGAGACCAAAGAUAUAUAUAUUUACAUUUGUUAUUGAUCUACAAGUUACAUGUUGCAAAUUUUUUGUUUAUGGAAUAUCUUUUGUUUUUAUUUUAUACCUGUUUUUUUUUUAGUAUAAACUCUUUUUUUUUAAAUAGAUUUUUUAAAAUGGAUUUUGUUGUUAUGAAAAUAUAGUUCAGCGUGAAUUGGCUUAAAUCAGUGUUUCUCAAUUUUAUUUUUACCGGUGACGCCCCACUAUGUAAACAAAAUUUCGUUCGCGUCUCCACCACUUUUCAUUUAGACAGCGGGAAACUGGGAGACUCCCUGAGUGGGUUCUGGGGGGUGGGGGGGAGUUAAUGAUUUAAAAAACAAAAAAGGAAAGAAACGAGAAAAUAUUUAUAAUUACAACACAAUUUGUUUCAGGUCAUAGAACAAAACAAGUUUAUUUGUUUGUAUUCUAGUUCGUCCAUCGUGGUUCGAUGAUGACCACUUUUGUCAUCCAGGGGGCUGAGGGCUUUGCAUUUCAUGUGGCUGGAGAGACCUAUGUGAGCCCGGAAUGUUUGACUGCACGCUGGAGCUACUGUUAUUUGCCUUCCAUUUUUCUCUGGCGCUUUUCUUCUGCCAGCGCUGUUCUCUUGUCACUAGAAACUUGUGCGCCAGUUUUCACAGCGCGACGCCAUGAUGCUCUGACAUGUGCUUCUGUCUCCAAGGUGGCUGUUGUCUUUUUCCACCGUGUGAGCGCUUUCCUUUCCUUAAUUAGCCAUACAUGAGUAGUUUAGGGAUAAGGCUGUCUUCCAUUCUGCAGAUGUGUCCUGCCCUACCUUUUCUGCUCCAGACAUUUUUAGACAGUCUGCCAUAGGAUGCACUGGAGUUGGCAAUAAGCAGGUCGAUUUCAUUAUCGAUCUUUCUGUUUCUGGAGAUUGUGCUGCCAAGAUAGGUGAAUCUGUCCACUGCAUAUAUAUCAUUUCCAUUUAUUUUGAUACUUGGAUCUGAGUAGGCUUUCACUGGAGCAGGCAAAUAUAAGACUUCAUUUUUUUUGUGUUUAUAGUGAUGCCAAAGUCUGAACAGACUCUUGAAAAGUCUUUUUUCUGUAUGCUACAAAAGUGGAUGUCUUUACCAAAGCGGGUUGUGGGGCGCAUCACAGUUUUAGAAUCGUUGGCUUAAAUGAUUAUCUAAUUAAUGGUUCACUCGAAGAAGAGGUAAUAUAUACUGAUAACGUACACCGGGACCCUAUAGUGAUAUGGAUGGCUGCCUGGUCGUGCGGUUUGCGCGCUGGACUGUCGUUCGGAUUUAUCGACGGUCGAGGGUUCAAACCCUGCCCGCUCCCAUCCCCCGUCGUCCUGCGGGAGGUUUGGACUAGGAAGUAAACUAUCUUCAACUCUGAAGGAACAUCCGAAUUAUGUAAAACAUUUUACAAACAAACAAACAUGGAGUAGUAAAAAAAAAAAACAAUUAGAAUUGCCUGUUAAAUCUUCUUUUACAAAUAGUUAUAACUAGGUGCAAACGAAAUGCAUUCAUUAUUUUUACAAUACUUCUAUUCAAGUCAGAACUUCAUGGAACCUGGAAACUAGCCAGGAACCUGCAUGGACAGCUGAUCUCAAAGUGGCUCUAGCGAUUUUCCUAGAAAUUUAACAUUUGAAGUAUAUCGCCGAGAAAAGAAUUACUACGUUGGCCACACGGAGAAAACUCUGGUCUGACAGCUAUAUUUUUUAAAGUAAAUAAUUAAUUUAAAUUUGGCUAGAAAUCUACAGAGCUAGAUAAAGGUCUUGGUCCAAAAUCAGUAUUGAAACGACUUUUGCGUUCUUGAAAGGACUUUCAUUUUCGGGAAUUUCUCAACACAAGGCGCGUCAUGUUCUAGUUCUAGCUCUAAAAUGUUUAUCAUUGGAAUAUUAUAAAGUAUACUAGAUCUAUACCAUAGACUUAUAUAUACUAUAUCUAGACUGGACAUGGAGAUUUUUUAUCACUACAAAAAAUGUGAAAAUUUUUUAGAAAAUUCAAUCAAGGCGUUGUUUUGUAAAGUAGUUAAAAGCAGUUAAAGUGUUUUUUUUUCAACCCUAACCUAUGUAACACAUAAUUUAAUUUUAGAUCUAGAUCUAGUAAUUGAACAUAAUAAUUAUUAUUUUGCAAUUGGUAGAUACAUAAUCUAGACAGAUUUAGGUAAUCAAUCUAUUUAAAUGUGCAUAAGAUGAUUUAAAUCAACAUGAAUUAUUUCCAUCUAUGAUUUUUGAAACAUUUUCUCAAUGGAAACAGACAGGAAAUGGCUUAGUUUCAUAUUUGCGUGAAUAUCCGAGAAAUGAUUUUGCAUUAUUUCUAAGCUUUGAAAACUAAAGAUCAUUACUUUUCUAAGACAGAAAAGAUUGAUUGGGGCGACUGCCCUUAGAGACUGAAAAAAGAGUUUACGUGCAUAAAAAUCUCUCUAUAUAUAUAUAGGUCCGUGAAUCAAUCAGUCGCGGAUAAGAAUUUAUUUCCGGUUUCCAGUCUAGAUACAAUAUAUAAGUUUAUGAUCUAUACAUUUCGCGGUUAACAAUAAUUCUUUCUCGUGAGAAGGAGGGAAAGGGCGGGGUAAAAAAUGUAUCAUUGGUUAUUCAUUAAUUUUUAAUAGAAAAAAAAUAACGUCCUAUAAAUUGUAUAUAAAAAGUAUUGUUAAUGUUUUUCUUGUUUUAAAGAAAAAAAAAAUACAAAAACAAGUAAAAACAUUAACAAUACUUUUAAGAAAGACAAGACAGUGAGAGGCCAGCGAGCUAGUACUUCUAUUCUCAACAACAUCAACUGUUGAAUUUCUAUUUACCACAAACAGAGGGAAGAGCAAGAUGUUCAAGAUAAAAGGCGUCCAACACCACACCCAGUACUGUUCAAUGAGAGGCGCUGGAACAUGGAGGAACAUGUGCAGAUGUCAGAACCUGCAUUCGUAAAGCUCAACCAGCCUUCCAUCAGUUAAAGAACACUUGGGGAUCUAGGGAAAUAAGUACCACCACCAAGAAUAGGCUCUUUAACACUAUUGUUAAGUCAAUACUACUUUAUGGAGACGAGAUCUGGAGAACCACCAUCACCAACAUGAAAAAAAUCAAAAUAUUCAUCAAUACCUGUCUGAGGAAGAUUCUUAUGAUCCUCUGGCCAGACAUAACAAGGCAAGCCCUAACCUGGAACCCUCAAGGAAAGAGGAAGAGGGGGACGACACAGGAAUACAUGGCUGCGAUUGGGACGCAGAUGCCAAGCAGGCCGGAAAGACGUGGGGAAGUUGGACAGAAUCUCCCAGAACCGAGACGUCUGGAGGAAGCUAGUUGGCGGCCUAUGUCUCAGACGGGACCGCAGGCAGACAUGAGAGAUCUGAGAUGAUAUAAUCUUUUGGCACGCCAAUGAAAUAUUAACCCAAUUUUAGAUUUACACGAAAUGAGCAUUAAUUGAAUCAACUAAAUUAACUCAAGCAAAACAAGUAUCCAGAGUUUCUUUCCCAAAAUUAAAAUAAACAGAAGAAAAACUAGGUCUAGAAUUUACACAUUAAGAAUUUUUACUAGUAAGGUGCCCAAAAAGUCAAAAAUGUUAUUCCAGAAUAACUCCAAACCGAUAUAGAACACACACACUGACAAGACUGUCAAAUGACAAUAUAACCUUGGUGACUUGUUUAUGUUAAAGCACAACUUCUUGGAUCCGAUGACGCCAUCUGUAAAGUUUUCUUGAUCAAUCGUGAAUUGUUCACAUUGUAACUCGCAAAGCCAAUGCUCCAAAUAGUCAAAGGCGAACAACUCUCUCAGACCUACACCACAGCCACAAACAAUAUGGUUCAGAGAGUUUUCAAGCUCCAGCUUAGUAAAAUUUGCAAUGCCGUCCCAUUCUGGUGACUUUUCUUUAUUUAUAUCCAGAUCUGCUUCGCCGAGAUCAGCAUUAGAAUUCUCAUUUGAUAAAAUGAGGAGCUCUUUAUCCCUGGACAAAAUUAGGAUGAUUCGUAAUAACAUUUUUAAACUUUCUUGCACGACAAUUUUGUUGUUAGUCGGAAACAGAAAAUGAUCAUGUAUUAAAAUUUUCAAGGUAAAGAAAUAGUCCUUGAUCAUUGGAAAGUAAGAUAAACUAGAAGGGCGCCAUAACUUGACGGCGUUGAUGUUAGCGAAAUGUCGUAGAAAACAGAUGAAGACUUCACUGAAAUGUCCCAUAUUAUGAGCUUCGAGGCUUUUUUCGGGAAAUGCCAACUUUAUUACAUACAUAGAUAGCUCUUUUGUGGUGAUAUGUUCAGCGAAAUUGGAUUUAUAAUUAGUUAUUCUGCAAUUCACAUAUUUGGGCCCUUUUGUAGAUCCGUCUGUAACUUUACAUCCUAGCUCCGACCAUGGACUUGAUAUAUCUGAAGAUUUGAAUGAUAAGUAAUUUACAGUUGAUGUAACGGAUAUAGGAAAAUCUAGACUAUUAUGGUAGAUAGCAAGAGAAUUCUUAGAUCUACAUUUUGCACAAUAUGGAGCUAGACUCGCUUUCUCUGAGAUUUCUGAGCUCUCGUUCUGACACAAGAGAAGUCUGACUUCUUCAUCAUGAGGCCGUGCAAAGAGAAGUUGUUGAUACUGUACUAUAACAUAGAUAUAUGACUGCAUCUUUUCAAUCGCCAGAUCUUUCAUAUACGCUUUCCAGAUCAAAGGUUUUGAAUACUUCUGUGCAAAGCAUUUAAAUAUGCUCCAAUUUAUAUAAGUGUAUCCAGUGGUCAGGUCACUGACAGGAAAAUAAUUUGUUUCAUCUUCAGAGUAAACAUAUGGAGUUAGAAUAGGCCUUAACAGACGUAAACCUUCUUUGUUUGGGUCUGUGACACAGCUAGGAAUGAACAGUGCACCGUCUUCUGUGCACAGAAAUUUGGGGAAGACAUAUUCCUCACUUUUUGCAUCCUUCUUGUAAGUCUUAUUGUUGAAUUUAACGGAUGUUUUAGACUUGUAUAUUUUAUGGGCAACUUGAAUCGAUUCUGUAGAAAGAAUGUGCUUCUCUUUUCUAAAUGCAAGGGUAGUAUUAUUUUCGUUGGUGAUAAACGGACUGGAUUUGUUUUGUGUUUCUUUAUUUAAAGCUUCAGUAAAGUUUCCAUGCAGGAAUUCUCCAGACGACGUUUUCCCAUUGUUGGUCACAUUGAGAACCAACUCUUCUGGGCUUGAGACUAUUAAGUUUUUUUCUAUGUGGUGACACCUGGUGCUGAAGUCUGCACAGCAGACGGAACAUGUUUUUAGACAAGAGCACGGAGACUUUUGCUGACCUUUACACUUGUCUCGACAUGAGAGAUCAAUGUCUGCUUGGGGUAAACGAGAUCUGCUUAGUCGAACAUUGUCAUGAUGGAAUCUGCUUUUUCUAGUUGAUAAUGUUCGAGCCUUUGAUACAUGUUCAUUUGUUACAUUUUGAACCGUAACAUUUUCUGUUGCUACAUUUUCAGUUGCUACAUUUUCAGCUGUAACAUUCUCCUUUCUUUCAUUUUUAGAUGCUUUAGUUUCAAUAGUUACAUUUUCAGUUCUGAGAUUUUCCACCGUAAUAUUUUCCGCUGCUACAUUUUUGGUUGCUACAUUUUCAGUUGCUACACCUAUCAUCAGUAUUUGGAAACAAAUCAAUACAUUAGUCCACAUUUGAGUUGAAUGUAUGUCCCCUGAAAUAGAAAACAAGUCUUAAUACCGAAUUUCAGUUUAAACACUUCCAGCUUACGUAGUUAUCUUAAGACAU